CCUACGGGCGGCAGCAGUGGGGAAUAUUGGACAAUGGGGGAAAGCCUGAUGCAGCGAAGCCGCGUGAGUGAGGAAGGAUUUCGGUAUGUAAAGCUCUAUCAGCAGGGAAGAAAAUGACGGUACCUGACUACGACGCCCCGGCUAACUACGUGCCAGCUGCCGCGGUAAUACGUAGGGGGCCAGCGUUAUCCGGAUUUACUGGGUGUAAAGGGAGCGUAGACGGCUAGUGAAGUCAGAAGGGAAAGCCCAGGGCGCAACCGUGGGACUGCUGUUGAAACUGUGUAGGUAGAGUGCAGGAGAGGUAAGCGGAAGUCGUAGGGUAGCGGUGAAAUGCGUAGAGAUUAGGAGGAACACCAGUGGCGAAGGCGGCGUACUGGACUGUAACUGACGUGGAGGCUCGAAAGCGUGGGGAGCAAACAGGAGUAGAUACCCUGGUAGUC
rnacentral:rRNA from 1 species